rnacentral:rRNA from 1 species
GACGAACGCUGGCGGCGUGCCUAAUACAUGCAAGUCGAGCGGAAAUUUGAGAGCUUGCUCUCAAAUUUUAGCGGCGGACGGGUGAGUAACACGUGGGCAACCUACCUUGUAGAUUGGGAUAACUCCGGGAAACCGGGGCUAAUACCGAAUAAUCCAUUUUGCUUCAUGGCGAGAUGUUGAAAGACGGUUUCGGCUGUCACUAUAAGAUGGGCCCGCGGCGCAUUAGCUAGUUGGUAGGGUAAUGGCCUACCAAGGCGACGAUGCGUAGCCGACCUGAGAGGGUGAUCGGCCACACUGGGACUGAGACACGGCCCAGACUCCUACGGGAGGCAGCAGUAGGGAAUCUUCCACAAUGGACGAAAGUCUGAUGGAGCAACGCCGCGUGAGUGAAGAAGGUUUUCGGAUCGUAAAACUCUGUUGUAAGGGAAGAACACGUACGAGAGUAACUGCUCGUACCUUGACGGUACCUUAUUAGAAAGCCACGGCUAACUACGUG